CCGAAUGUCUGAGCCAGUAAGAGAAUGGAAACUAAGUAAGACAACAAGAUUCGUAAAGUGGAGUGACGAUAUUAUUUAAGUGUAAGACUGUAUAAAAGCCAAGUCCUAAGAACGAAGAGUUAGUUCUUCCCUGGAAUUGCUCGGCUUCAUUACUCUCUGUAAUGAAAUCUAUUUGAAUUCACAAGCUCCGGUAUCUGAGAAGUAUUUGAAUCAAUAUUUUCACAACACUGUUAGCAAUAAAAGCUGUGCCUCACCUCAGGGACAGACAGGUGUCUGAGAUCUAACCAAAUUUACUGAGAUUCAGAUUGAAGUACAAGCUGCAGCUGCAGAGAUGUGUACCAUAAUGUUCAUUAAAGAGGCUAAGAUCUACGUUCUCCUAUUGGUGUUCAUUAGCGUCUUUGUGGAGAAAGGGCAGUCAGAAUUAUCAAGAGAAAAUGUGAAAAAAAUUAUUGAAGACGUAAUAUACACAAGGUUCAAGCAUAAAGACUUGCAGAAUAUUAUGAUGGCAAAGAACAAAGACAAAAGCCAAAAACAGCCCAUGGGUGGCCAGUUCACAAUUGCACUCCAUCUAACACAAAAUGAAUGUCAAAAUGGGAAGAUGGAGGGAAGCAACGUUGACUUUCAGAAGGUUGUGGAAGACAUGGCAAAUAGCGCUGUGUUCAACAGUGGUGGGGUCACUGCAGCUAUUCCUCUAUUCACAUAUGACAAUGAUGGUGUAGCAGCUCAAAAAGAAGAGGUUCAUUCAGAAUAUCGCGUACUGGAUAAACUGAAAUUGAAUUUGAACAAAGUUUCUGAUAAAAAGUGUUUGAUACUCUACACACAGAACAGUCCUUGUAGGGAGUCAUGCCUAGAAGGAAAAGUGUCAAACAUCAUCCAACCACUGGAAGAUGUUUUCAGAAAGGUAGACACAGGUUAUAAGGCAGUAGUCUUCGACCAUAUUUAUCGUGAUGACAAAAUGCAAACUAGAGAAAGAGUUUUUAAUUCUCUGAAAAAAAUUCCUGUGACAACUUAUUGCUGCUACUACGAAAACAACGUUUUUGUAUGUGCAUUGCUUGACCAUAACAAACGUGCCAACGAUCAAGAAUGUCUGUCUGAGAUGAGUAAGGAUAAUCAAAGUAGUGACGACGAUGAACCCGUGAGAAAAAAGCCAAAGAAAAUGUAUAAAUAGAUUUUUUUCUAUUGUUACAAAAAACACAAAAUUCAUUCAAAUGUUUGGCUGUCAUUACUCAUCACUUAAUUGGGAUGCUAAUGUUAGCAGUACAUGAAUGUUGAUUGUAAUACUUUCGUCGUUUAAUCGUUUCAAUGUGCUUUCUGUGUUCUGAAUAUUGAUCAACAUUAUGAAACUGUGUAAUGUAGUGUGAAACUAUUUCUAUCUGAUGCCAGUAGAAAGCUGUUAGUUUGUUGUUUAUUAUACUGUAUAAGUCUGUUUCCAUUCGCUUAUGAUAACAUUACUGUGAUCUACAAAUUUAUGACGUGUGGGAGUUAUUUGCUGUUAUUAAACCUCUCUUGGAUGUAAUGAA